UACGGGGGGGGCAAGCGUUGUUCGGAAUUACUGGGCGUAAAGAGCUUGUAGGCGGUUUGUCGCGUCUGCUGUGAAAUUUCGGGGCUCAACCCCGAACUUGCAGUGGGUACGGGCAGACUAGAGUGUGGUAGGGGAGACUGGAAUUCCUGGUGUAGCGGUGAAAUGCGCAGAUAUCAGGAGGAACACCAAUGGCGAAGGCAGCUCGCUGGGACGGUACUGACGCUGAGACGCGAAAGCGUGGGGAGCAAACAGG
rnacentral:rRNA from 1 species